rnacentral:rRNA from 1 species
UGAGCAAUCUGCCCUUCUCAUCGGAAUAAAGCGUUGGAAACGACGUCUAAUGCCGAAUACGACCUCCUUUCGCAUGAUCGGAGGUGGAAAGCUCCGGCGGAGAAGGAUGAGCUCGCGGCCUAUCAGCUAGUUGGUGUGGGUAAUGGCCCACCAAGGCGACGACGGGUAGCCGGCCUGAGAGGGUGACCCGGCCACACGUGGGACUGAGACACGGCCCAGACCUCCGUACGGGAGCA